AGGAACAAGAGAGGACCGAAAAGCCAAGCAGACUUAGGGUACAAUAACUGCAGCAUGGUCAUGACUGAGUUCCCUGAAAUUUAAAUAAAGGAAGGCUUCCUAGAAACCCUGUUGUGAAACCAGACUUUCUUCUGUGCCCUUAUGGUUGGUACAGGCUACAGAAACACUUCCUGGGCACAUCUGAAUGUGGGAAAUCCCUAGGAUUUUUGGGUCAUCCGUUGGCACAGACAGACAGAAACUGUGGAGCUGGAGAAUACCUGCAGCCUCCCAACAGCCAGACUGAGGGAGAAAGGAAGAUCCUGGUGGAAGAGCAGCAGCUGUUCCUAGAUCAUGCUGCAUGGAAAAUAAAGUUGCUGCGACGAGAAAAUUAGAGGCCAGAGUAAGGAUGCAAAACAAUGUAGUGAUAUCAAAGAGCUACAGACUGAAAAAGAAGAGUUUGAAAAAAAAUGUCAAAGGACCAAGUGAGGGGAUAUUCAAAGGAGGAGUAACAAGUUAUUCUUGUGUGCUAAACUCAGUGUGCAAGUGAAGCCUUGAUUUUAGGUAUGGAACAAAGGAAAAAUGUAGGUUGCAGGUACACACUGAAAAUAUGAACUAUAUUUUCUUAGAGGUCUCGCCCCUAUGGCCAGGAGAAGUAAUGGGCAGGAUGGCACUGUGGUGCUGUUGAUGGGAGUGUGUGUCUCUCAGUAUACAUCAUAAUCAGGGCUUUGGAGACUGAUCCUGCAAGCUGCUCAGUGGUCCCAGUGUCAUCAGACAUCACAGCCAUGGGAGCAAAGAAAAAUUCAUAGCAGAUUCAGGAUCAGGAACAAUAAAAGCAGGGAUAAGGAUUUCUGAGAGCCUCACUGUAAGGCAGAAAACAUAUAUGUUGGUUAACAAGAGAUUAUUUAAAUCUGCAUUGAGAUCACGGGCAAAAGCCAGAGUUUAGGAGAUGGAAUGCGGUACGAGUGAGAAGACUUAAGUAAAUUGUAUUGAUGCAACUUGAGUCAAUUUGUAUUUGAUUUAGUCAACAAGCCCAAAGCUUGUAUAGAUAUUUGUAUUUCAGAGGGAUAAUGGAUUACUCCGGGUUAGGUCAAAUUGACUUCAGCUAAGGUCAGACAGGUGCUCACAUUGGGGCUGGACUUGUUUGUGAAGCUGCUGCCCCUUUGUGCUCUAAAGAACUAAGGGUGGGUGCUGAGUUAAUUCCUGCUCCUCAGCUGAUGGACUGCAACCUCGAGCUGAGGACAAACCUUGGGAACAGGUGUGCAAGCUCUUUGCCUCUUAGGCUAAGUCUGUGUGAACUACUCUUAAACCAAUUGAAAAAUCUUCCUGGAAAGAAGUUUCAAAACAUAUUUUGCUGUUGGUUGAUUGCAUCAGCUUAAAAUUUCAAUCAAACUGGUGGAAAUUCACCUGCAGCCCGCUCUUUGAGCAAUAUGGUUCUUGAAAAUUAAACUGGCCUCAGACUGAAGAUGAAUGAACAGGAGAGGAAAAAACUUUGCCCUAGACAGGAAUCUUGAGAGUGACUCUGAUAAGUUUAACCUAACACAGUGCCACUGAUAUCAAAACAGGUAUUCUUCCUUUACACAGAAAUAAAUUUGAUCAGUAGUUAAGCUGGUAAUUUGGUAUUAUUCCACUAGAUGUAAGGUUUUUAUAACAUUACCAGCUUAUUAAUAGUCAAAACCUGAAACUUUACAUUAGUGCCAGCGAUGUGGGGGAGAAGCAGAAUGAAGAAUGGAAAAAGAUGACAUUAUUUGCCCAGGGCAGAUGAUUAAAGAGUAAUCUACUUUAACAGUGUCACCUUUAUAUAUUUUCUCCUGUCUACCAUUGCCACAGUUUUCCACACCUCAGGGGAAGAGCUGGCACUCAGCAGAGCUCCUAAAUGGGUUCUUCUUUCUGUGAGAUACUCUUAUUAAUAUUUUUUUUUCUGGAAAGCAACAAGUAAAACCACCUCCAGACUUCACAGAACAACACAAUAAAGUUAGUCCUGUUGCUGGCUUUGGGGAGUUGAAUGCUGGGGCACAGACACUACUUUUAUGCUCCUGGGCACCAGAGUGCUUGCAUUGCUUUGACAAGAUGACAACCCUUACUUUAAUUUUUUCAUAUGCAUCAAUAUAUUACAUGGGUUUUCUUAAAGAUAUCAUCAGCUUCUCUUUCCUGCUUAUUUAUUCAGCAAACCUUUCUGCAUCUGAGAGAAGAAGAACUUUUAAUUUUCAGGAAUCUGUGCUCUUUAAGUUAAUGUCUCUUACUAUAUUCUUUUACAUUUAUAAAGCCUAAGCUCCUCACAGUAGUUUGUACAACCACUUCCUAUAAAGAUGUGUCUGUGAUUAAAUAUAUACUAUUGGGAUAACCUGUGUGCAACUUCUGUCUCUCAGUGUUAACCACUGGUUUCUGAAACUCAGCAUGACUGUACUACCCUGCCAGCCUUGCUGGGCAAUUUAAAUGAUAUCCCAAAGA